ensembl:lncRNA
GAGCUGAUAUUAGCAUUUACUUACUGAGCUGAUCUCAUAGUGCUCAUAUUUCAGGUAGUGUUUGUUGUAGGUCAGACUGACAGAUUUAUUCACACCAGCGGCUCAUUUUGUUUGUUACAGAACACAGCCUAAUUAUAUCGUACACAGUGCUGAUCUCUGCUGCUGCUGCUGCUGGGUCUCUGUUGAUUGUUGCUGCACUCAUGAUCUUCUGCAUCUUCAGGAAAAAUAAAAAAGUAAACCAAGAAGGCAAGUAUGACCUAAUGCUUAUACAUCUGUAAAAGAAAUAUUAUUAUUAUUAACAUUAGAAUGAUGUUAAAGAGUGUUCUAGAGAAAUCUUUUUUGUUAUUGUUAUAAGCUUGUUAUUUUAACAUGUCUAUCAUUAUCGUUGCAACAGAUACAACAUGUGUAGAAGAGAUCACUUACUCUGAAAUAACAUUCAACAAAAGAAAAGCACAGAAAUCGAGAGAUAAAGAGGAGACUGAGGUGGUGUAUGCAGGAAUCGCUGGGAGAUGCUGAUCAGACUAUGAUUCUGGAGAAUGCAUCUUUGACUGACAGCUAAAACCUUGCCAUAAAAUCAUCCGAUUUUAAGCGCAUCAGUCACACAGGAUUAGUUCUUAGGAUAUGUGUAUGUACAUAAAUUUUUACUAUAGCCACUACUGGUAACAUUUAUGGUCUUCUGCACACUGCUGACACAGGUAACUAAUCC